CAGCAGCCACGGUAAUACGUAGGUGGCAAGCGUUGUCCGGAAUUAUUGGGCGUAAAGGGCUCGCAGGCGGUUUCUUAAGUCUGAUGUGAAAGCCCCCGGCUCAACCGGGGAGGGUCAUUGGAAACUGGGAAACUUGAGUGCAGAAGAGGAGAGUGGAAUUCCACGUGUAGCGGUGAAAUGCGUAGAGAUGUGGAGGAACAUCAGUGGCGAAGGCGACUCUCUGGUCUGUAACUGACGCUGAGGAGCGAAAGCGUGGGGAGCGAACAGGAUUAGAUACCCGCGUAGUCCCUGUCUCUUAUAC
rnacentral:rRNA from 1 species